GACGAACGCUGGCGGCGUGCCUAAUACAUGCAAGUCGAACGCAUUUUCUUUCACCGUAGCUUGCUACACCGAAAGAAAAUGAGUGGCGAACGGGUGAGUAACACGUGGGUAACCUGCCCAUCAGCGGGGGAUAACACUUGGAAACAGGUGCUAAUACCGCAUAAUUCCAUUUACCGCAUGGUAGAUGGGUGAAAGGCGCUUUUGCGUCACUGAUGGAUGGACCCGCGGCGCAUUAGCUAGUUGGUGGGGUAACGGACUACCAAGGCUGCGAUGCAUAGCCGAACUGAGAGGGUGAGCAGCCACACUGGGACUGAGACACGGCCCAGACUCCUACGGGAGGCGGCAGUAGGGAAUCUUCGGCAAUGGACGCAAGUCUGACCGAGCAACGCCGAGGGAGUGAAGAAGGUUUUCGGGUCGUAAAACUCUGUUGUUAGAGAAGAACAAGGAUGAGAGUGGAAAGUUCAUCCCUUGACGGUAUCUAACCAGAAAGCCACGGCUAACUACGUG
rnacentral:rRNA from 1 species